CCUACGGGGGGCAGCAGUGAGGAAUAUUGGUCAAUGGACGAGAGUCUGAACCAGCCAAGUAGCGUGAAGGAUGACUGCCCUAUGGGUUGUAAACUUCUUUUAUAUGGGAAUAAAAUGUUCCACGUGUGGGAUUUUGUAUGUACCAUAUGAAUAAGGAUCGGCUAACUCCGUGCCAGCAGCCGCGGUAAUACGGAGGAUCCGAGCGUUAUCCGGAUUUAUUGGGUUUAAAGGGAGCGUAGGUGGAUUGUUAAGUCAGUUGUGAAAGUGUGCGGCUCAACCGUAAAAUUGCAGUUGAAACUGGCAGUCUUGAGUACAGUAGAGGUGGGCGGAAUUCGUGGUGUAGCGGUGAAAUGCUUAGAUAGCACGAAGAACUCCGAUUGCGAAGGCAGUUCACUGGACUGCAACUGACACUGAGGCUCGAAAGUGUGGGUAUCAAACAGGAUUAGAUACCCUAGUAGUC
rnacentral:rRNA from 1 species